rnacentral:lncRNA from 1 species
CCAAAGCAAGAACAAAGGAAGAAAAAGGAAGAACAAGAACCCUAGGGUGAAAAUUCAUUAGAAAAUUGGUGGAUUUCAAGUAAUCAAGCAAUCAAAGGUAAAUUUUCUUGAUUUUGACUUGUGAUCUACCUUUUCCAUGCGUUAUUUUACAUUUUUCAUGGUUGAAUCACAAGAUAUCAUGAAGGAUAGUGUGCUGAUCAAACCCUAGGAGAGAGGUUUUGAUGCUUGAUUUAGUUAGAUUUCAAUGUAUUUUAGUGUUUUUAGUUGAUUGGUGAUGUGUAGCAUGAAAAUCAAGCAAGAAAAAUUCAUGUUCUCCCAUCACCCAUCAUUGGCCGAAUUCUCCAUGUGGAAUGUUGAGGAUGAUUUUGAUUUUAUUUGAAGUGAUUUGGUUAGGAAUUAGUGAUUUAUGGUGUGAGAAUAAAAUAGGAAAAAUUAUAGUGUUGAUGCACCCACCAUGGCCGAAUUUUCCAAGAGAAAAUAUGAAAAUGAUUUUGCUAGAUUUUAUGCUAUUUGACUUGUGUUUGAUGAUUUGGAGUAUUGGGAGAAAAAUAGAAUUUAUUUGGAGUUGAAUUGGACGUAUUGGCCAAUUAAUCGAGUGAUAGAUUGAAUUAGGCCAAUACCGUUUAAUUUAGGUACACAAUUGAAUUUGUGUAGAACACCGUGUUUAGACAAUAAUCUGAAUAAUUUGCAUCCCAUUUCAUACAUUAGUAUAAAGCCUGAAUUGGUUUUAUAACAAUUUAGCACAAUGUAGUAAAUGGCUUAUUGUGCAUUAUGUCUAUGUGGUGAGCAUUUUGGCAAAAGUAAAGAGAUAGUACCCGAGGAUCAAGAAUCGGAGUACUUGGAAUUCGACUCCCGAAAUAGUGAGUAACCUUACUAUCGUCUUAAUUAUCUAAAGUGGUUUUUAUCCGAUUUUGUGAUUUUAUGGGAAAUGAGUUUAAGUGGUAAAUCUUUAUGUUUUAUAAACAAAAUAUGUUUAAAUGAAAUGAUUUUAUAAAUUGUCUUGAAAUUGAAUGAUGGCUUUGAAAAUAGAGUAAUUGGAGACCACUUGAUGUGUUGUAAUUUAUGGUUCUAAUUGAUGGCUUAUGAUAAUGUGUUGGCAUGACUGGCUGGAAUUGUGGUUUGUGAACUGUAUGAAUUGUUCUGUUUUACAUUUACAGGUUGGGUAGUAUAAUAUGAGUCAUGUCAUGCUGUCAAAAUUUUAUUAUAUGGUGGGUUUAACUUGCUGCAGUGGGCGGGUUUUCUGUGGACUAGCUGAUUAGAGGGGCACGAAAUCCCGUUAUAUUUUACCUCAGUUGGAGAGGCGAGUAGGGUAACUCCCGAGGUAUAACUUUAGAGUCACUUCACGCCAAACCACCACGUGAGGGUGAACUCAACCAACUCCAAGGAACGACUAUGUUUUCAAAAUAAAAAUAUGUUUAUGUGUAUAUGAAAUUUUAACAGCCUUGGCGGACUCGGUUGGGAUAGCCCUCGAUCAAGGCAUCCUUGAUAAUUGGGUAUGAGAAUGAUUUUGGCACGAGCCAAAGUUUUAAGAAAUUCAUAAGCCAUGUUGAUUACUCGAUUUAUAUGAAUUGAUUUUAUUUGGUUGAAACAAGUUGAAAAGUGAUGAAUUACAGUAUGUUAAACUAUUUUAUCUGUCUCCAUUUACUCGGCUUUAGAUAUUUUAGAUGGUAUUUGUUUACUCACUGGGAUUAUAUAAUCUCACCACCCUCCUUUCCACCCAUUUCAGGCUCAGGAUAGUCUAUAGAUAGCUGAUUUCAUCGAGGACCACCAUUGGAUUUGCAUCCUCCAAACUGUAGGUUCACAAUCUUUCUUACUUUUGGUUAUUCGAGGGCCCACUUGCUACUGUAAAUUAAAUUAAAUACUCUGACUUACUGUAUUACAAUAUAUAUGAAUUUAUUUUGCUUUUACGCUGUAAAAAUUAUUUAUGCAGUGUUCUAAAAAUAUUGUUUUAUGAGAAAA